ACGAUUGUCCGAGUUGUAAUCUAGAGAAGAUCANCCGCGCUGGACCGUGUACAAGUCUCCUGGAAUGGAGCGUCAUAGAGGGUGAGAAUCCCGUCUUUGACACGGACUGCCAGGGCUUUGUGAUGUGCUCUCAAAGAGUCGAGUUGUUUGGGAAUGCAGCUCAAAAUGGGUGGUAAAUUCCAUCUAAAGCUAAAUAUUGGCGAGAGACCGAUAGCGAACAAGUACCGUGAGGGAAAGAUGAAAAGAACUUUGGAAAGAGAGUUAAACAGUACGUGAAAUUGCUGAAAGGGAAACGCUUGAAGUCAGUCGCGUUGUCCGGGAAUCAACCUUGCUUUUGCUGGGCGUACUUCCUGGUCAACGGGUCAGCAUCAAUUUUGACCGUUGGAAAAAGUGGCUGGGAAUGUGGCAUCUUCGGAUGUGUUAUAGCCCAGUUUCGUAUACAACGGUUGGGAUUGAGGAACUCAGCACGCCGCAAGGCCGGGUUUUUAACCACGUUCGUGCUUAGGAUGCUGGCAUAAUGGCUUUAAUCGACCCGUCUUGAAACACGGACCAAGGAGUCUAACAUGCCUGCGAGUGUUUGGGUGGAAAACCCGAGCGCGUAAUGAAAGUGAAAGUUGAGAUCCCUGUCGUGGGGAGCAUCGACGCCCGGACUUGAACUUCUGUGACGGAUCCGCGGUAGAGCAUGUAUGUUGGGACCCGAAAGAUGGUGAACUAUGCUGAAUAGGGUGAAGCCAGAGGAAACUCUGGUGGAGGCUCGUAGCGAUUCUGACGUGCAAAUCGAUCGUCAAAUUUGGGUAUAGGGGCGAAAGACUAAUCGAACCAUCUAGUAGCUGGUUCC
rnacentral:rRNA from 1 species